rnacentral:rRNA from 1 species
UACGGGGGGGGCAAGCGUUGUUCGGAAUUACUGGGCGUAAAGGGCUCGUAGGCGGCCAACUAAGUCAGACGUGAAAUCCCCAGGCUCAACCUGGGAACUGCGUCUGAUACUGGAUGGCUUGAAUCCGGGAGAGGGAUGCAGAAUUCCAGGUGUAGCGGUGAAAUGCGUAGAUAUCUGGAGGAAUACCGGUGGCGAAGGCGGCAUCCUGGACCGGCAUUGACGCUGAGGCGCGAAAGCCAGGGGAGCAAACGGG